rnacentral:rRNA from 1 species
GCAAGUCGAGCGGAAACGACACUAACAAUCCUUCGGGUGCGUUAAUGGGCGUCGAGCGGCGGACGGGUGAGUAAUGCCUAGGAAAUUGCCUUGAUGUGGGGGAUAACCAUUGGAAACGAUGGCUAAUACCGCAUAAUGCCUUCGGGCCAAAGAGGGGGAUCUUCGGACCUCUCGCGCUAAGAUUAGCCCAGGUGGGAUUAGCUAGUUGGUGAGGUAAAGGCUCACCAAGGCAACGAUCCCUAGCUGGUCUGAGAGGAUGAUC